rnacentral:lncRNA from 1 species
AUAGUGUUGAUCCAAUUUUCUAGUCUUAAAUAUCAUUUUUCUUACCUCUUGACAUCCAGCUGCUAGAAUAAUGCUAUGUGGUUUAGGUUUUAUUAUUUUUUAAAAAAUCAAAUACCUUGUUUCCAGUCACUAAGUUCUUAUUAGGGUAAUUAACGUAGGCUGAUGUCACAGACAACCCACAGAUCUCAUCAUUGAAGCAAGUUCUUUCUCAUGUCAUAGGCCCCUAAUGGAUUUGCUCUGAUUUUGAAGGUGUUUUCCCUUUGUCUUUUCUAGGAAUUUGGGGAAGAGCGAGGCGAAGGAGUAGUGUCUUGUAUCCGUCAGCAUUGUCGAUCCAAGGCUUUCUUGUGAAUUCGUUUUUACCACAUUUGAAGUGUGAUGCCCAGAAUGGAACUCGGAGCUGCUGGCACCCGCAUCCAUCUUUGGAGGCUCUGGACAUAAUCAAUGGAACAGGCAGAAGGCCUGCAGCCCCAAGCCUGCUCGUCGCCGUCUCCCCUUCACAAGUUGAAUGCACUCAUGGACCACGGAGUGAAUCCAGCGUAUCACCCUAGUCUACACUUUGGGUAACAUUUUUAUCUUUUUUUGUUUGUUUGUUUUUGACAUUCCACACUAAAC